CUCCCAUCUCUCUCAACGCCUCUCUCCCAUCUCUCUCAACGCCUCUCUCAUCUAACCACCACCGUGUCUCCUCCUCGUCUCACCACCACCGCGUCUCCUUCUCGUCUCACCACCACCGCGUCUCCUCCUCGUCUCACCACCACUGUUUUCCCCCUUGUCUCACCACCACCACGGUGGAGGAGCCAAGGUUCAUGGCGGCUGGAGGAAGCAAGGUUCAUGGCGGCUUGAGUAUACAAGUCUCGUGGCGGCUGGAGGAAUCAAAGUUCAGGGCUGCUGGAAGAGGGACAAGGAUAUGGAGGAGGCGGCAGGAGUUUUUUCUUUAGGUUUAGGUUUUUUAGGUCUGGUUAAGUGUCCUAAAUUGUAGUGGUCUGAUUUUAUUUUUUAAUUUCUGGUUUAGUUUUGUAAACCAGAAUUAAUCUGUAAACCAAAUUUAAUUUAUUAAUAAAAUUUAUUUUAUUUUC